CGUCACAAACCCCGGCCCACACUACAACCCGCACACCAGAGGGACUGAGGCGCAGCAUUGUGUUUUCACGACCGAGGCUGGGUGAAGGAAGAUGGACGCUGAAGUCGUCAAAUAAAAUAAAGUUUAUUGUUACACAAACUCAACAGCUCUUGACAGAAGAUCGCUGAUUGGACGUUCAACUCGCAAUACAUGAUGGGACACGAAAUUCACGCCGUACGUGGCUUCGCGGCCAGGUUUAGCUUUGUGUGCAAUACCAGCAUUGAUACAAAAACACUGACGUUGCAGGUCCCCAGACGUCAGUCCCCUGCAGCAAAGAGGAGCACCAGGGUUCUGAGGUUCCCUGAAGCCCACUGUUCACAACCUACAGCUGAUGCCUGGUGAGCUGAAGUCAGUGAGGUACUGGAAUUGAAAGGGAAGGCUCGAGGUAAAACAAAGAAGAAGAGGGAAGAGAAGGGGAAAACAGCCAAGGGAAAGGUUGAGCGAGAUGAGCAAAAUGAAGCCCUGGCUGAAAAUGAAGACAGCUCCUCAACUACCACGGAAAUGUCCAACCAUGACGUGGACAGCAGCAUAAGAGAGGUGCUUGUUCACAAAGUGACAAAACCGUGCUGUCUUCUAACCUUCUUACUACAUGUUGUUGAGUCUUUGUCACUGCAUGUGUUUUA
rnacentral:lncRNA from 1 species